GCAAGCGUUGUUCGGAUUUACUGGGCGUAAAGGGCGCGUAGGCGGCAAUUCAAGUCAUCUGUGAAAUCUCCGGGCUUAACUCGGAACGGUCAGAUGAUACUGUUUUGCUAGAGUGCAGAAGGGGCAAUCGGAAUUCUUGGUGUAGCGGUGAAAUGCGUAGAUAUCAAGAGGAACACCUGAGGUGAAGACGGGUUGCUGGGCUGACACUGACGCUGAGGCGCGAAAGCCAGGGGAGCAAACGGG
rnacentral:rRNA from 1 species